AUAAUGAAUUGUGUUAUUAUGUUCAUUAGAUUAUGAGUAUCAGAGUAAGAGGAAGAGAGCCACUCCUUCAUAUGCUGCUCAUUGCAUUAACAGUUCAACCGCUCUUGGACCACCUUGUCCUCUGUAUGGGGUCACACAACCAACUGAAGCUGAAAUUGCUAAGAUGUCACUGAAGCAGUUAAGGUCUCCAGUGAAGAGGAAUAGCAUUGACAAAGAAAACUCGUCUUUUUUGGAAAAGAGGAAGACUAGAGAUGAGAGAGCUGGCUUAAGGAAGAGAGA